ensembl:snoRNA
UGGACCAGUGAUGAAAGCUGGUGGUGUAUGAGUUCAUAUACGAUGAAUGCUAUGCGUCUGGAACUCAGGUCUGA